GAUGAACGCUGGCGGCGUGCCUAAUACAUGCAAGUCGAGCGAACGGACGAGAAGCCUGCUUCUCUGAUGUUAGCGGCGGACGGGUGAGUAACACGUGGAUAACCUACCUAUAAGACUGGGAUAACUUCGGGAAACCGGAGCUAAUACCGGAUAAUAUUUUGAACCGCAUGGUUCAAAAGUGAAAGACGGUCUUGCUGCCACUUAUAGAUGGAUCCGCGCUGCAUUAGCUAGUUGGUAAGGUAACGGCUUACCAAGGCAACGAUGCAUAGCCGACCUGAGAGGGUGAUCGGCCACACUGGAACUGAGACACGGUCCAGACUCCUACGGGAGGCAGCAGUAGGGAAUCUUCCGCAAUGGGCGAAAGCCUGACGGAGCAACGCCGCGUGAGUGAUGAAGGUCUUCGGAUCGUAAAACUCUGUUAUUAGGGAAGAACAUAUGUGUAAGUAACUGUGCACAUCUUGACGGUACCUAAUCAGAAAGCCACGGCUAACUACGUG
rnacentral:rRNA from 1 species